CCACAAUACGUUGUAUCACUGGUUCUCGCCCGAUCACUGAAGUUAAGCAAUGUCGAACUUUUUCAAUACCGAGAUGGGUGACCACUUGGGAAUAUCAGAAGCUGCAAGC